rnacentral:rRNA from 1 species
GCUAGAGACCGGCGCACGGGUGCGUAACGCGUAUGCAAUCUACCUUUUACAGAGGGAUAGCCCAGAGAAAUUUGGAUUAAUACCUCAUAGUAUAGUACAACCGCAUGGUUGAACUAUUAAAGUCACAACGGUAAAAGAUGAGCAUGCGUCCCAUUAGCUAGUUGGUAAGGUAACGGCUUACCAAGGCUACGAUGGGUAGGGGUCCUGAGAGGGAGAUCCCCCACACUGGUACUGAGACACGGACCAGACUCCUACGGGAGGCAGCAGUGAGGAAUAUUGGACAAUGGGCGCAAGCCUGAUCCAGCCAUGCCGCGUGCAGGAUGACGGUCCUAUGGAUUGUAAACUGCUUUUAUACGAGAAGAAACACUCCUUCGUGAAGGAGCUUGACGGUAUCGUAAGAAUAAGGAUCGGCUAACUCCGUGCCAGCAGCCGCGGUAAUACGGAGGAUCCAAGCGUUAUCCGGAAUCAUUGGGUUUAAAGGGUCCGUAGGCGGUUUAAUAAGUCAGUGGUGAAAGCCCAUCGCUCAACGGUGGAACGGCCAUUGAUACUGUUAGACUUGAAUUAUUAGGAAGUAACUAGAAUAUGUAGUGUAGCGGUGAAAUGCUUAGAGAUUACAUGGAAUACCAAUUGCGAAGGCAGGUUACUACUAAUUGAUUGACGCUGAUGGACGAAAGCGUGGGUAGCGAACAGGAUUAGAUACCCUGGUAGUCCACGCCGUAAACGAUGGAUACUA